rnacentral:rRNA from 1 species
UACAGAGGUGGCAAGCGUUGUUCGGAAUUACUGGGCGUAAAGGGCGCGUAGGCGGUCUUGUAAGUUUCGUGUGAAAUCCCUCGGCUUAACUGAGGAACUGCACGGGAUACUGCAUGACUUGAGAUCGGGAGAGGGAAGCGGAAUUCCGGGUGUAGCGGUGAAAUGCGUAGAUAUCCGGAGGAACACCGGUGGCGAAGGCGGCUUCCUGGACCGACACUGACGCUGAGGCGCGAAAGCUAGGGGAGCAAACGGG